GACGAACGCUGGCGGCGUGCUUAACACAUGCAAGUCGAGCGGUAAGGCCCUUUCGGGGGUACACGAGCGGCGAACGGGUGAGUAACACGUGGGUGACCUGCCUUCAGCUCUGGGAUAAGCCUGGGAAACUGGGUCUAAUACCGGAUAUGACUCCAUGAUGCAUGUUGUGGGGUGGAAAGCUUUUGCGGCUGGAGAUGGGCCCGCGGCCUAUCAGCUUGUUGGUGGGGUGANGGCCUACCAAGGCGACGACGGGUAGCCGGCCUGAGAGGGCGACCGGCCACACUGGGACUGAGACACGGCCCAGACUCCUACGGGAGGCAGCAGUGGGGAAUCUUGCGCAAUGGGCGAAAGCCUGACGCAGCGACGCCGCGUGAGGGAUGACGGCCUCGG
rnacentral:rRNA from 1 species